rnacentral:rRNA from 1 species
GACGAACGCUGGCGGCGUGCUUAACACAUGCAAGUCGAACGGAAAGGCCCUGCUUUUGUGGGGUGCUCGAGUGGCGAACGGGUGAGUAACACGUGAGUAACCUGCCCUUGACUUUGGGAUAACUUCAGGAAACUGGGGCUAAUACCGGAUAGGAGCUCCUGCUGCAUGGUGGGGGUUGGAAAGUUUCGGCUGUUGGGGAUGGACUCGCUGCUUAUCAGCUUGUUGGUGGGGUAGUGUCUUACCAAGGCUUUGACGGGUAGCCGGCAUGAGAGGGUGACCGGCAAAAAUGGGACUGAGAUACGGAGCAGAGUGCAACGGGAGGCAGCAGGGGGGAAUAUUGCACAAUGGGAGGAAGCGUGAGGCAGCAACGCAGCGUGCGGGAUGACGGCCGUCGGGUAGUAAACCGAUUUAGCAUGUGACGAAGCGUGAGUGACGGUAAUGGGUAAAGAAGCACCGGCUAACUACGUG